AGACGGUGCGGGCGUGCUAUACAUGCAAGUCGAGCGGACCGACGGGAGCUUGCUCCCUUAGGUCAGCGGCGGACGGGUGAGUAACACGUGGGUAACCUGCCUGUAAGACUGGGAUAACUCCGGGAAACCGGGGCUAAUACCGGAUGCUUGAUUGAACCGCAUGGUUCAAUCAUAAAAGGUGGCUUUUAGCUACCACUUACAGAUGGACCCGCGGCGCAUUAGCUAGUUGGUGAGGUAACGGCUCACCAAGGCGACGAUGCGUAGCCGACCUGAGAGGGUGAUCGGCCACACUGGGACUGAAACACGGCCCAGACUCCUACGGGAGGCAGCAGUAGGGAAUCUUCCGCAAUGGACGAAAGUCUGACGGAACAACGCCGCGUGAGUGAUGAAGGUUUUCGGAUCGUAAAACUCUGUUGUUAGGGAAGAACAAGUACCGUUCGAAUAGGGCGGUACCUUGACGGUACCUAACCAGAAAGCCACGGCUAACUACGUGCCAGCAGCCGCGGUAAUACGUAGGUGGCAAGCGUUGUCCGGAAUUAUUGGGCGUAAAGCGCGCGCAGGCGGUUUCUUAAGUCUGAUGUGAAAGCCCCCGGCUCAACCGGGGAGGGUCAUUGGAAACUGGGGAACUUGAGUGCAGAAGAGGAGAGUGGAAUUCCACGUGUAGCGGUGAAAUGCGUAGAGAUGUGGAAGAACACCAGUGGCGAAGGCGACUCUCUGGUCUGUAACUGGACGCUGAGGCGCGAAAGCGUGGGGAGCGAACAGGAUUAGAUACCCCUGGUAGUCCCACGCCGUAAACGAUGAGUGCUAAGUGUUUAGAGGGGUUUCCCGCCCCUUUAGUUGCUGCAGCAAACGCAUUAAGCACUUCCGCCCUGGGGGAGUACGGGUCGCGAGGACUGAAACUCAAAAGGAAUUGAACGGGGGCCCGCCACCAAGCCGGUGGAGCAUGUGGGUUUAAUUCGAAGCAACGCGAAGAACCUUACCAGGUCGUGACAUCCCUCUGACAACCCUAGAGAUAGGGCUUCUCCUUUCGGGGGCAGAGUGGACAGGUGGUGCAUGGAUGUCGUCAGCCUCUGUCGUGAGAUGUUGGGAUAAGUUCCCGCACCGAGCGCAACCCGUUGAAUCGUAGCUGCAGCAUUCAGCUUGGGCACUCGUAAAGGUGAACCUGCCCGGUGG
rnacentral:rRNA from 1 species